AUGGAAGUUUUCUUAAGGCUUGUUUUUCUGGUUUCGACGCUCAGCAGAUUCGCAACAUUCCAAUUGCUAGAAGGCUUCCGGAGGACAAGCUGGUUUGGAACACAUGAGAAAAACGACGAAUAUUUUAUUAAAUCCACUUAUCAUUGUAUUGGUGCUGAUAAAAGAAAUCAUUUUGCUAGCUCUUCUGUGAUUAAUAACGACCUGUUAUGGAAGGGGAUUUGGAAAGUUAGAAUUCCUAAUGCUAGGAGGAGUUUCCUUUGGAGGCUCAUGAAAGGGAUUCUCCCUGAUAGAACUAACCUGAAAAAGUGA